AGAAUAAUAGCCGCAUGAAAGAAUUUCUGUUAUUUUGUGUUGACGAGUAAGGGUUAGCAACAUUAAAUACAAGGGGUGGGAGAGAACCUUGGUGGAGUCUGUCUGGACAGGCUCACUCUGGCCAGUGAUGUAACGGCCACUUGGGUGGUAUGGAACUCUGAGAUGUGUACCCGUCACUUACUGCUUUCUCUCACCCAAACAUCUGGAAGACCAAAUCCUGUCAUUAGACAGCCCACAUGUUAGAAAAACAAAAGGACAGAAAUAAAAAAAAAAAGAAAGAAAACCCAGUGCCCUCCAAAUGGCUGGAGAAAGCCUCAUUAUUGCUGGUAGGAAAUUAGACAUGUAAGGUUAUACUUCAAAGCAACUAUUUUUAUUACAAGAGGCUCAAUGUUUUGAUUUAUUGGGCUUCAGAGCAAGAUUGCAACAAAUAUUUCCACCUCAAAGAAAAGACGAAUCAGGCCUCUGAGCAGUCUACUAAGUGGACUGAGCAGCCUAGAAGUAGCUGAAAAAUCAAGUUUGUUGCAACAGGAGUUGGAAUGAUGAAAAUUGUAUGCAUCUGCUCAAAGUCCCUGGAAAAGGGGCCGCUUCAGUACACAUGCCUCAAAGAAAUGAUGUAAUCGUGUGGGAAUUUUCUUCUCAUCAAAGGGGCUUGCUGCAGUGCUGAAUGCCGUGCUGAGCUUCAGAAAUGAGUGCCUGAAUUCACAGCUAGAAUCACGCAGCAUCGAGUGUCUCCACAGUUUAAACUAAGAUCAGA
rnacentral:lncRNA from 1 species